rnacentral:rRNA from 1 species
UACGUAGGGUGCGAGCGUUAAUCGGAAUUACUGGGCGUAAAGUGUGCGCAGGUGGCCGCGCAAGUCGAGUGUGAAAUCCCCGGGCUUAACUUGGGAAUUGCGCUCGAAACUACGUGGCUCGAGUGUGGCAGAGGGGGGUGGAAUUCCACGUGUAGCGGUGAAAUGCGUAGAGAUGUGGAGGAACACCAAUGGCGAAGGCAGCCCCCUGGGCUAACACUGACGCUCAGGCACGAAAGCGUGGGGAGCAAACAGG